AACGGUCUAUACCUGCGGUACCUGCGGAAGGAUCAUUACAUGGCGGAGAAGGUGGGCAACCUGGCCAACAUCCAGGUUGUGAUGCCUUCACGCUCUUCCACCCUUGUCUAUUUGCACCUUCUGUCGUUCCCUCGGCGGGUUUCGACCCGCCGGCGGCAACAUUGAAAAACCCUUUUUGCAGUUAGCAUUCAAUUCUUCUGAUCAAAUAUUAAAUCAUUACAACUUUUAGCAACGGAUCUC
rnacentral:misc_RNA from 1 species